UACCAACCUGCCCACCACGUUGGGAUAACCUUGCGAAAGUAAGACUAAUACCCGAUGAUAUCUCUAUAAGACAUCUGAAAGGGGAUUUAAAGAUUUAUCGGUGAUGGAUGGGGAUGCGUCUGAUUAGCUUGUUGGCGGGGUAACGGCCCACCAAGGCAACGAUCAGUAGGGGUUCUGAGAGGAAGGUCCCCCACAUUGGAACUGAGACACGGUCCAAACUCCUACGGGAGGCAGCAGUGAGGAAUAUUGGUCAAUGGGCGAGAGCCUGAACCAGCCAAGUAGCGUGCAGGACGACGGCCCUAUGGGUUGUAAACUGCUUUUAUAAGGGAAUAAAGUGAGUCUCGUGGGACUUUUUGCAUGUACCUUAUGAAUAAGGACCGGCUAAUUCCGUG
rnacentral:rRNA from 1 species